UUCCAGAUAUUCUUAUCCAACCUUCAAGUCAGUGCAAGCUGUUGUGUUGUGGUUAUUUUUGUGUCUCAGCUCCCAAACUAGUCUGCAUGCUCCUGGAGGAUUCUGGAGGCUGGGUGGAUACUUAACACAUCCCAGGCAGCACCAUCCGUUGUCCUUGUCAUUCAAAAUAGGUCUGCAAGCUUUUCUUGCCCAUCCCUUUAUUUUGAUGACAAAUGCUGCACCUCCUUCCCACCUCUCACCCCCACCCCAAAGACCAGAUAUGUAACUCUGAUCCCAGCUGGUCCUAUUAUGGUAUCCCUAUGACUGUAGUGAUUGGCUCAAGAAGUGGGCCCUGAGCAGGACCAAUCAGAGACCAUCCUGGAAUUUAGAGCUGGCACUGGAUUUACUAAGCUAGAGCCUGGAGUGGUGGGUGUUUCCUGUUCCCUGGGAGGAGGAGGGAGACACAGAGGUCUACGUGCAGGAGGCAAAGAAACCUGGAGAGGAGUAGUCCUCAAUUCCAGCGCCUGGGACUCUGCUUCCAGUUCAGGACUUUCCUUAGAUUUCACAGCACCUUUUAUGUCCUUCCUGACUUUACGCUACUAAGCUCUCCUGGUCCUCGGAGUUGGUUUUGGUCACUUACAGCCCAAAGAACCCAACUAAUCCAUGUAGGAGGCUGCACACCCAUUUCUAUGAUGUUACUGAGGACAUUUCUGGGACUCCUCUCAGCACAGUCUCCAGACCACAUAAGGCAAUUGGCUUUUUGACCAGCUUGAGGCCUCAGUUCCUUGGUGAAAUGAGGCAGAAAACAAAUAAAUAAACUGUGUCAUCUACUCUCUAGUCAAAAUCAACAACCACCAGACUUGGCUCAGAACCACUUGGGACGGUUUCCAAAGUUUAGUUCCACCCUGUGGAUUUGCUACCAUGGAGGGCAGCAAAACAACACCCUGGGCUUGGAAGGCAGGUGGAAGAGGAACACUCCAAAACAUGCUCUGAGAGGGACAGCACCUCAGGAAUAAGAGUUCAGCCUCCCCAGGGGGGCCUACUAAGGACUAAGCACUAAAAAUAAUCACCAUUUAUCUGGCUGGGUAAAGUACAUGGCACAAAAUGCACAAGCAGGUAUGAAGUCAAAAGUAAGUCUCUUUCGCAUUUUUGACACCCAGCCACUCGGUAUCCC
rnacentral:lncRNA from 1 species